GUAAAAAAAAAAGUAACACCAAAUAAAAAUUUAUAAUGUCCGACAUAUCUCCGAAGUCCGCUAAAUUACUAUUAUAAAAAUUUAUCAAAUCUUUAUCUAUUACAAUUAGAGAAAAGUUCACGCAGCCCGUUCAACGGUCGUGCUCGCACUCCAAGAAAGUCUGGUACAUCAUCAGGGAAUACUAUGGAUGUUAUUUGUUUUUCUACACCAAAGCCACGAACUUGAAACGAUUAUACAUACACCAAAAUUUAAUAAACAAGUGAAUAAAUAAAUAAACAAUUACUUAAAUAAAUAAAUAAAAUAAAUAAAUAAAAUAAAUAAAUAAAAAGAGGGUAGAUUCAGAGGAUCGGAUUUUUUUCCCAUAGCAUUAAAUGCUCCAUUAAUUGGAUGGCAAAAGAAAUCAAAUGAAAUCUAAUAGUAGAUUUGAGUGGAUUUGGACGGAGGAGAUUUAUCUUCCCAUCCAAUCAUAAUCUUGGGAGGAUAUCAUUUAAUGUAAAAAUAUAGAAGAUCACGGCCUCAAAUUCUCAAUCAAAUUGCAAGAGGCUUCUUGGCCAUUGAAUCAACCCAAGGAAACACUCAAAUAUAUGCAUUGAGAGAUUAGAAGAUCAAAAUUAAAUAUUGAUAAAGAUUUGAGCAUUUAAGAGUCCUCCCACUUGUAUAGCAAGUUGACCGAAUCCAACAAGUAUACAAAUAAUACACCCCCAACGUUUCCAAAUACAGCCACCCAUCAUAAUCAAACAUCCCAAAAAUACUACAUAGAAUAGAGGAGUACGAGGAUGAAGAGUUGCUAAUAAUUGUAGGAUCAAGUCCAGGAUCCAAUGACACUUUUGUUUCCACAUCAAAAGGGCUAUCUCCGUGAGUUAAGGGUGGAGUCGGAACGAAAGAUUCAAGUUAAGGGAACUAAACGAUCAAGGUUGAGCAGCGAAGUGGUGGAGGAAGUGCUAUUGAGACAAGACAUUUAAUUCAGUCAGAUUUU